CUGAAGAAUAUAUUUGUAGACUUCCUGGAAAUUGAUAAGUUGUCUCCAUCACUAAAGCAAGCAGAUUUUACUAAUUAGAAUUAUCUACAUAAUUUUACUUCAUUCACUUCUUUCUGUCAUACUAGGAGAGCCUUUAUAUAACCAAAGAUAUUUUUGGACCAUGAAUUCGGAAAUUCUCGGAGCCGCCCAUCAGUGCCUGAGCUUCAGUGAGUCCAUUUCCCACGUCACCUACGGCAAAGGAGAAUCUGAGACUUCUGAAGAGUUUCUUGCUUCUUUCCUGUGGGGCAGUGACUCCACUUCCCAGCAGUAAUGGAAUAUCCUGAAUUAGCUACAUUAAUGUUAGAACAAUUUGGACCUCACCGAGGACUUCAACUACAUUAUGCUAAAGUUACAGAAUCCAUAUUUGGCAACUGUCUGCAUCUGAACAACAGAAGUUUCAACAUUCUGCCAACAGAGUAACUCCUGGACGAUUGGCACAGAAGAAGGCACAAGGCAAAUACCCAUCUCUGUACACCCUGUGCUACUGUGUCAUGUGCUGCUCCAGGCAACUCCAAUGGAUUGGCCACCCUGGCCAAUGUGUUCUAGCAUGUUAGGUUUAUGUCCCCCUGCUUUCUACAAUCCUGUUCAAAGAGUUGCUGACGUAACCACAGAAAGAAUUCCAGAACAUGAGACACAGAAUAAACUUGAGCAAUCAUAGUCCAUCCACUUCAUUUUCUCAUCGAAAACCAAAGGUCCAGUGAAGCUCUGGAACUCAACGCUGUAAAGGAGCAAAGGAGCAUCUAUACAGAGCCUGGAUGCCUGUCUCCUUAUCCUACUUCAGCGGACUUGACUGCAAUCUGGAUUAUGCUGUUUUCUAAGCAUUUAAAAUAAAAUAAAAAGUGUAAUAGUGUGAUAAGUUCUUUCACAAAGCAAGUAAUCACAUUUAUGUUUCUACUUAUAUUUG